CAUUAAUCUCCCUCUUGUUAGUGUAACUUUGUUAUUGCAUGACAUAGUCCAGUGAAGGAGGGUUUUACAAGAGUGGCGCGAGGCAUGAUUUCUGCCCCUGCUGUGCUUGCGAGUCACGCUUGCCUGUGGAAAAGCGGCUAAUGAAGAUGGCAGAAGACGACUGGUAAGCAGUUAGGCUAUGUUUAGCCUAUAUCUUCAGUUCUGUGGACUAAAAUGACUGAGGCUAAGGGGUUGGUCCUCCAAUUGCUCUUUAUACUUGAGAAAGCACAGCCUAAGCUAUGUUCAUCAUGUGCACUUUGUGCAUGGCAGUUUUGUGUUGUGAAUCUCUUGACUUCAAAGAGAAUAAAGUAAAACAAAUGUGCAUCUUGUCAUGGCAUUAGAGUUUACUUAUGUUGUGUCUAAUAUUAAUAGACCCAAGCUAUUCACGGAUAUUGCCAGAUGAUAAUUUUACCUCUACCAUUCUUUUAACAGACUUUAAUCAUUUAUUAAUCAUUUUGUCAUUUUGUCUUGAGACUUCACUUUGCCAAUUAUAUGCUAUAUUGUUAGUAGCCUGGAUAGCCCACAGUCAUUAUGGAAAAUUAAAUUGCCUUCUACUGUCACGGCCGGUGAUACAAGGAAACACGGAGAGAUCCAAGUGCGGGUAUGAUAUUUAUUAAUGGGUAAUCCAAAGGGGUAAACAGUCCAGGCAGGGUCAAAACCAGAGUAUCCAAUAACAAGAACAGAAAAAACACAAGGCAGGAUCAAGACCAUGGAUAACAUCAGACAAGGACUCCGUGACACAUACUCAGACAGACUGGGUAUAAAUACACAGAAGGUAAUGAGGGAACUGGAGACAGGUGGGGAAUAAUCAAUUAACCCAAACAAGGAGGAAGGUGACCAAAUAAGGGAACAGACAGUUAAUAAAGUGACAGACACCGUGGGAAAGGAGGACAUCUAGUGGAAACCCAGGGAACACAACCCAGACACUGUGACAUCUACUGGAUGUAAAAUGCUCUGUAUUACAUUUAGUCAUUUUAGAAUUUUAAGUUCUACGUUUUAGUUAUUUUCGUGAAAGUAACUCAAAAGUAAUACAGGAGUAAUGUAAUGUAUUACAAUUCUGAGACAGUAAUAUUGUAAGGUAAAGUAUUAAAUUUAAAUAACAGUAACAAGUAAUCUAUAAUGUAUUACAGUUUGGAAGUAACUUGCACAACACUGCUUCCCACCACUGUUGAUGACCAACCCGAGGCGCUCUAAAUGAAUGAGCUGUAGCUCUUUGUGAGUGUUCAGUUCCCGUUCUGAUCUGGUUAGAACAAGCCAAUCGUCGAGGUAAUUCAAUAUACAGAUUACCAUCUGCCUGAGCGGAGACAGAGCCACAUCUAUACACUUCGUAAAAGUGUAUGGGGCCAGGGACAGUCUAAACGGAAGGACUGCAUACUUAUAGGCCACUCCCUCGAACACAAAUCUCAAGAACGGUCUAUGACGGGGGGCUAUGUGGAUGUGAAAGUAAGCAUCUUUCAAAUCUAUGUCCAAAACCAAUCCUCAGGGCAAAUAUGAGAUUAUUAAUAUGUGAUUGAGAGAGGAUGAGGAAUCUUUAAAAUAUGUGAGUCCGCUAGCACAGCGAUAAAAUAU